rnacentral:rRNA from 1 species
GACGAACCGUACAAACGUUAUUCGGAAUCACUGGGCUUAAAGGGUGCGUAGGCGGCGCGGAAAGUAGGGUGUGAAAUCCCUCGGCUCAACCGAGGAAUUGCGCCCUAAACUACCGUGCUCGAGGGAGAUAGAGGUGAGCGGAACUUAGGGUGGAGCGGUGAAAUGCGUUGACAUCCUAAGGAACACCGGUGGCGAAAGCGGCUCACUGGAUCUCUUCUGACGCUGAGGCACGAAAGCUAGGGUAGCGAACGGG